GGAAGGAAAGGAAAAAGGUAGGAAGGAAGGAAAGUUGGAAGGAAUGAAGGAAGGAAGGAAGGAUGGAAGGAAAGGAAGGAAGGAAGGAAGGAAGGAAAGAAGGAAAGAAGGAAGGAAGGAAGGAAGGAAGGAAGCAAGGAAAGGAAAAAGGUAGGAAGGAAAGGAGGAAGGAAGGAAAGGAGGAAGGAAGGGAAGGAAGGAAGGAAGGAAGGAAGGAAGGAAGGUAGAAAGGAAGGAAGGAAAGGAGAAAGGAAGGAAGGAAGGAAGUAGGAAGGAAGGAAGUAGGAAGGAAGGAAGGAAGGAAGGAAGUAGGAAAGAAGGAAGUAGGAAGGAAUGAAGGAAGGAAGGAAGGAUGGAAGGAAAGGAGGAAGGAAGGAAGGAAGGAAGGAAGGAAGGAAGGAAGGAAGGAAGGAAAGGAAAAAGGUAGGAAGGAAAGGAGGAAUGAAGGAAGGAAGGAAAGGAGGAAGGAAGGAAGGAAGGAAGGAAGGAAGGAAGGAAGGAAGGAAGGAAGGAAGGAAAGGAAAAAGGUAGGAAGGAAAGGAGGAAUGAAGGAAGGAAGGAAAGAUGGAAGGAAGGAAGGAAGGAAGAAAGGAAGGAAGGAGGAAGGAAGGAACGAAGGAAGAGAGGAAAAGAAACAAAGAAAGGAAGGAUGAACAGAUAGAAAGAUACAGUACAUAGCAGUGAAAGGAGAAUUAUAUUUUAUCCGUACCUGCAAAACCAUUUGUGAACCAGUAGUCCGGUUUUGUAUCUGCUGGUGAUGCAUCAGUGUGUCUGAUUACCUUCAUAACUACAAACCACAUUCAGCCCUAAACACAAAACAAGAUGAGCUGAAGAGCGAAAGAAACCUCCAGCAAUCAAGACGUUGAUGAAAGAAAAGUGCUUAUGGAUCGGAUCUGACAACAGCACGAAACUCAUGCCACGGACUGUGUUUUACAUAUUGUAGCUGAGUGAACUGAAAUGAGUUCUCUGCUGCAGCGGCGCAGAAAGUUCAAAGUAGAUGAAGAGUUCAGUCGUCUCGACAGCAGCAGCCGGUCAAUUAGGUGAAGCAGGAGGGUGUGUGCACAGAUGCAGGCCGUGGAGCAGCAGCAUCACCUCGUCUGACGGGGGAAGGACACGCAGCAGCGCUAAAGGCAGCGCCUUUAGGGAGCUGUUUGUUAAGCAAACGAGUGGGGAGUGUGUGUUUACAGCUUCAUGUACAAACGUGGUUUGAAGCUGCAUUGAUUUCACCGUGGAACAGGGAGGAUCUGCUAGUGAAGCCGGCGGUCACUCAGGCCCAUUAGCAGCAGUGAAGAUGGAACCGUCUCUUGAGCAGAGUUUUAGCAGGCUCGUGUAGCCUGCGUGUUGUGACUGUUCUACUCCAGCGGUGACCUCACGCGCCUGAUCCUCCCAUGAAUAUUCCACGGCCUACAGUCAGCAGGCAGCGGGGCCGAGACAGCACGCUGUUCAAUACAGUCACCCACGUCAUCCAGAGGUGGACAUAAAACUGCUCAUUGAGUAAAUAGGAGCAGCUGAUUAAUAGCAGAACAAUAAAAUAUCAGAAGAGGCAUUUCUUUGAAAUGCAUUUCCUUUAUGAAAGCCUCCCUGCAGUGGGAGGGAAGAGGGCUGCAAAAUACAGCAUCAAGCUCCAAUUUGCCCAAUUUACAUCAAACCAGGGAACACACACACACAACCCCACAACCCUGCCCCCGCACCCCCCCCCCCCCCCCCCACACACACACACACGCCCACACACACACGCGUUUCCAAUUUACUCACUGAUCACGACUCUUACCAGACUUGAAAGACCUGCGUACAUUUGGAGAGUUAUUUAAUUCCAGCACUGCUUUAGAUGUAAAGUUGUCAUCACCCGCCUGUUUGCUAUUAAACGUCUUGCUCCUGCCAAGUGUCUGGUGCACAAAUAUAUUAAGAUCAAAGCUAGAUUUGUCUUCGAGUGCAGCAGCAGCUACUUUUGUGUUGUAAAUGCCAGUAAAUACAAACAUCAGCCUAAUUAUGAGAAUGGGAUUUUUCUACCUUCUUUUUUUUUUCUGUUUGUGGAACCAAUCGUGUUUUUGGUUGGGGGCAGAAAAGAAGGAUGAACUUACUGCUUCCUACUGAGAACACACACACAUACACAUCACGUUAACCACUUUAACUAAACUGUGGCAAAUGUUGGUUGUCAGGCUGAUCAAGGAGGUUGCAAGUGAUCUAGUCCCACAAGACAGGAGGCAGUAAUCAGCUGCAUCCACUGAGGACAGAGACGCGUCAUACUCGGUCUGAAGCACCUUCAGGGACAGGACAGCGUCUCGGCCGCCCGUGGCUCAGUAACAGUGUGAGGUGUUCAGGGACCACUGGAUAGCAGGAUGUGACUACUAUAAAACAUUAGGAGUAGAAUUUCAUACUCUACAACCACUGGACCCUGUUGGACUGAUGCAUCAUUUGAACUUACAGGGUGCAAACUGAGGUGACAGCGAUAGGACAGUUACAUUUCUGACUGUUUCGCCAUCAAAUGAAUCUGAACAUAACGUUAUUGUUUGCAUUAGGAUGAUAACUACUAGCAUGGCGCUUCGGAGGCUUGUUGAGUGAUGUGAACAUGGACUCCCACUAAUGCGUCUGUGAGCUGCGUUGCUGUGAUGAAACCACGGUGCAAAUUGCUCAAUCGACUGGCUGCACAGAAGCAGGAGCUCCGCUCCGUCACGCAUGGUUUAUGGACGCAGGGUAAAAACCCAGACGAGACACGAGCCAACAGGAACUACUCCACUCGCUUUUGACUGUGAAUAAGAUCUGCACUGAUACUGAUGCAUGAUUGAGUGAGUGUGAGACCGUGCUUUGGGUUCGCACAAUCUGGCAAAUGUCUGCUUUACUUACAGAAAGAAAUUGCACGUGGUUAAAGCUACACAGUGAGACGAGACACGAGCGAGUGAGUGAGGGAGUGAGUGAGGGAGGAAGAGCCUGGUGUUCAUCAGGGGGAGCUGGUGACGGACUAUGGGAGCGUUGCUAUGAACAGUGGGAUGAACACAAACACACGGUAAAAAUAGUAAUGAAACUGUUGCAAAUGAUCAGAGCUGUGACCUUCAGUGACCUUCAUGUGGCCGCUGCUAUGCAACAGAACGUUUAGAUCGCCCACUUCACUUUCACAAUUCACUUUCAGGUCUGACCACUUAGCACAGCUGCUAACAGUCUCUACAUGAAUAGUAAUCAAUGCAAAGGAUGAACACACUGUGGUGGAAAUUUCCCAUAAAGCAGAUGGGAGAGUUGUCUUUUAUGUGAUUUAAUAUAAAAAAGGACAAUAAAAAAUUUGGGCAAAGCAAAUCAAAAAUCGGUGCACAUCAACAAACCAAAAACCAACUGAGAGAUCAGUGCACACACCACAAAGGUGUGAUGCAAAGAGCCCGCGAUCCUCAAGUUGUUUCUGCCUUUUAACCCCUUUCUCUGGCUCUGGUGGAAUGUCUCUUUGCAGCAAUGGAAUUGUUUGCACCACUUUAUCUCGCUGUGAGUGAGAAUGUUUGCUUUCUCACUUCUGCAUCAUCAUGUCUUGUUAUCCAAAGGAAGGAACACCGAGCUUCCAAGACAUGAUGCAUUGGCUUUAACAGCCUUGGGUCUGGUGGGGAGUCAGAUAGGAUGGAGCCAGGGUCCGGGUGUAAAAGAAAAACAUAUAUCAUAAAUUAUUAGUCAGUCAAAUGGAACAUCAGAUGUUUAAAGAUUAUUUGUUUGUGUAAGAAUGUUCAGUGUUGCACCUAACCAGCACAUGACGACUGUGUUGGAUAAGAAAAAGCACAAAGGCACA